UGGCAUUGGAGUCUGUGCAGGAAAAUGUCAUCUCCUCAGAGAGGUCUCGUCUGAAGGCUCCAAUACAGACAUGUAUGUGGUUGGCAUUUUCAUAGCAUUGAGAGACAUGUGAGUGACUUGCCCUGAAUUCAGGCAAUGAUGGACAUUCCUCUGUAUUCAUCUUCUCCUGCUAUCGGAGCCAGUUGGUAUCAGCGAGCUGCUGCAGUGGAUGGGGCUUGAAACGCUAAUAUCUCCAUAAUAUCAAGGCACUAAUCAGAUUAGUGGAACUUCAGAUGUUUUCUGAGAUGUGUCUGUGAUGCUGGGCCAUCACCUGCUUGGCUACCUUAAAUGUCACCAGGAGAAAACAUGCCUUUCUAACAGACACUGACGCUUAGGGAGGAAAGACCUGGCUCAAAUGAGGCAGACACUAAGAGGUGGAGAGAAACAACCUCACCCUGUGCCCGAGGGCAGUGUGGUCUCAUGCCCUGGCCAGUGCCUCCUGGUCAUGUGGCAGGUGUGCUGUCGGCUUUGCACACUGAAAAUGGGCUGUGGACUUUGAGAAAAGCAAGACCCCGAAGGCAUGCAUCCAUUGCAAGAUUCCAACAUCAGGCUUUUAUGCAAACUGCAAGACAGUCCUAAUAUUCCAGGCUUUAAAAAAACGAACAUCUGAAGAAAUAAAUGAGUCUAAAAUAAACU